rnacentral:lncRNA from 1 species
AAAAAAGAUUCGGUCUCUAAAAAUACGAGAAAGUUUAUUCUGAAUAACUUGAUUCUGCAAUCAACUCUAAUAAAAUCAAUAACAUCAGUCUUCUUAAGCAAUGGUAAGACAACACCUUUUUUGUGAGUACAUUUAAAUUUAAUAUGUGUCCCCCACGAUACCCCGUCGUUACAUGUGUAGGCUCCUACAACCGGUACAUACACCAAUAAAAUUCACUAUGUCAAAAAGCAGAUCCUCGAAAAGGUAACUAUGAAGCAAUAUGCACAAGUUUUUAUACUGCCCAUGGACAGAAGAAACCGAGAUAUUGCGGGACUCAAAAAUCCCAUGGACCUGGGCACAAUCACUAUUCGUGUGCAGAAACGGCGCUAUCGAAAUGAAGAUGAACUGAUUUUCGAUCUCAAACUUGUCUAUCAGAAUUGGCUUUCGUUGAAGAGGGAAAGUGCAAUC